AAUGAAUGAAGAGCAGCAGCAUUAUCAAAUGGCAGCAAUGUCGGGGAACUAGCUGCGGGGAGAAGGAUCAUAAUAGAAGACACAUGGGGCAUGUGCGAUUGUACGUAUUAUUUAUGAGAUGAUUAUCUUGGGGGAAUCCUACCGGCAAACUCAUGUGCACUGGAAAGGACCGAUGACAUAGGUCUUCUUCUCCAAAACUCUCAGCUAGAUCUGACUGACAACAUCUCCAACUUCCAGAUAAUCGCUGCAGACUGCGAUAUACAGGAGUGCGUUAGUUAUAGCCCUUACCCAAUCAUUCAAACGAGCGGCAGAUCCAAAAUAGUUCAAUGUAUUAGGUUCGGCUGAAUCGUGUAAAAAUUAAAAUACAAUAUACCACUUAUGAAAGAUAUGUUAAUCAACUUUUUUAAGCUAAC
rnacentral:lncRNA from 1 species